ensembl:lncRNA
GUGCUGUGAUAAUACACAGACGAGUGAGUGGCAAGUGGCAGGGUAUUUAUUUUGCACAAACUAUUUGCAGUCUUUCUGUAUUUAAAAAGUGAGGAAAGUUGCAUCCAGAAAGGUUUUGUUGGAAGGAAUACAUUUACACUUGGACUGACAACUUCAGUUGUUCAGAAGUUGACAACUUCUUUUGUUGGGUUUUUAAUUAUUUCUGGUCAGAGGCAUGGAGCCUUAUGAUCCAGGUAUAUUUUGUAUUAAUUUUCCAUUGCAUACAUUUAAUUCCUGGUAAGAGCAGUGCUGGUCAAGUCACUGGCUUUUCUCUGCACUCAUCUAAACUCAUCAAACACUGUCUUCAUAAAGGUAGAUUGAUGGUAUUUUACACAACUCAUUUAAUCAACUUAGUAUUUUUUGAGAAAUGAUCGUUAGAAAUUGACGACGUGUUUCAGUGAUGUUGAAAACAGUGGGACAAGAAUUGAGUUUCACAGGGGAAUUGACUUUGGACCUGGCCUGUAGAUUAGGGACGCAAAAUAUUUUCUGUUUUUCCCCCCUGCCCUUUUUGUGUUAUGCACUUAAUUUUAUGACUUUGGGGGUCUAUUGGAGUGCUGUUUAACAACUCUCCUACUCUCAAUGGUCAGAGGCUGUGUAGGUACCCAUACUGGAAUUUUCCAGGCCACAGGACCCAAGUCUGUGGGGUGUGCCUGACAUGUACCACUUGGUGGGUCUAAUUCUAAACUUGAUGUGUUAAUUGUACUUUAAAUCAAGCAGUAUAAACACACACAUUUGCCUCGUGUAGUGGACUUUUAUAACAAAAGAGAAUCUGGAUUUCUAAUUUACAAAUGGCAAAUUAUUUAUCCCUCUCUGGAUGCACCAAAGACCAGUAAAGUUUAUAGCUUUUCCAUCUAUAUUUAUAAAGCAAUACUGUAUUAUAAAAGUCAAUAUUUUUAUCACAUGCUUGAAAUUUUUAUUUUGUUCUGUUUUAAAGUGUGCACUCUAAACAUAUCAGAACCUUAUUUCUUCCUGUGAACUUAGGCUGCCUGCGCACAAAAAAAAAAAAAAAAUUACCAAAUGGAUAUGCAGUAGAGUCCAUAGACUCUUAAAACUGAAAGAAGAAAUGAGGUUGGGAGAACAAGUUCUUUGUCCUGAAUUACUGUACUGGCUUGACAUGGUUGAUGGGUACUAAAUCACAAAAGAAUCCAUUCCAGUUGUGCAUGUCUGAGGGUUGGGCUGUGACUAGAUUUAGAAAAUAGACUUCAAGCUUUGCAUGGUGGGCAGGUAUCUUACCCCAUCAGUUGCAUUUGUUCUGGGUAGAACAGUGGCCUUCAGUACCACCAACGUACCACAUCAAGUAACAAGGCAGGAAUUGUGGGAAUUCACUGAGUCAGUUUUGAGCAUUUUGGAGAUUGUAAACAAGAUUGGCUAGAACUGUAAAUGUUUGUACUUUUGAUUAAGUUCAUGGUUCCUUGUCACCUUAUACCAGCUAUCUUUGGUAGAAGCUACAGCAUCCAAUUUUCCUGGAAACUAUCACAUUUGUGCAUUUAACAAAUUUUGCAAUAGCAAAAAACCCAAAAUCUGCUUAUAAAACAACAUUUGGAACAGAAAACAUUUGGAUUCCACUUGUUAAAAAAAAAUUAUUUGCAAAAUUGGUCUUCUUAGUUAAAAAUCAGCAGUUGUCCAUGUCAAAAUUUUAACUGUAAGCAGGUAGUUUAUGGCAAAGAUGGCUAAACAAUGAAGCAAGUUUGAAUUUGUGUAUGCUAAUAAGCUGCUUUUUUCUGUUGAGACUAUCAUUAUUUGUCUUAUUACCCAAGAGGCAAUGACCUGAAUUGGAUGUCUGAAGUAUAACUUAUGCAGGAAUAGUUGUGUAAAUACAUUUAAAUAAACUGUAAAAAUAUUUAAUAAAUAUAGUAUUUA